UGGAUUGAUAUAUGGUUGGUUUGGUGUAGGUGUCUGUAUUGGAUUUUUAUAUCAUACAGCCAAGUUCAAAAACUAUGUCGAAAUUGCAAUUUCGAUCGUCGUUUUGUUGUUAAAUUUCGGUUUGCUUCAUGGCAUUUAUCGACAAAAACCAAAGUUCAUGUUGCCGGCAUUAGUUUUAUCAACGAUUGUCUCUUGUGUUUUCGUCAUCCUGGUGUUUUACUUGCCGACCGGUCUUAUAUUCAUUCUAAGCCUACAAAAUGAUCUUCGUACCAUACAAAAAAUUAUCAACGGUACAUUUGGUUACUGGAUUGUAUCGUGUGUUGCAACAGUUUUCCACGCAUAUCUCACAAUCGUCCAAUAUUCACUCUAUAAAACGAUGAAAGAUGCAAUCCAACAUCCAGCCGGCUAUGUUCAUCCUGUCUAACGAGAAUUUCAUCAUAAGUUGACCAUUUUCAAUAGUUUUUUUUUCUUCUUUCCUAUCAACAUAUUACUGAAUCAUUUAAUUUUCAUUUAUUUUUUUUUGAUUCACUUCAAGUGAAAAAAUGUGACAAAAAUCCAAAAUGCGUUGAAAAAUUGAAUGUGUGUAUGCAAAACCAUAUCAAAACAUCGGUGCGAAAUGGAAGCAAAAAUAAAGGCGAACAUGUAAACAGCACUACAGAGCUAUCGUCUUUCGUCUUCAUUACAGCGUUUAAGUAUAAUUUUAUUUAUUGUUUUUGAGUUACGUGUAUUGAAAGCCAAAUCGUUUGGUGGAGAUUUGUGUGCAAUCAGCAGCAUUAAAUAAACAACAUCACCAAGCAUUCGAUACGUGCGGCAGAGUUUAUUCGUAGAAUUCGAUGCGAGACACUUUCAUGCCAAUUAAUUUUAAGCAGCACUAAGCGAAAUGGUAUGCACUCGCUUUGGUCGACCGCGUAGACCGAGAAAAAAAAAUUGUCGCAAAAGUGUCGCCGCCUGCAUGGACUAUCGUCUGCUUUGUUCAUUUAAUACAAAAAAUCAAUUCAAGCGUUGAAUCCGUUUCAAACCAUGAAAACCAUAUUUCGUUCUAAGUGAUAUUUUUCUUCCAUUUUUGGAAUGAGACACAACCGAUAAAUGGUUUUAUUAUUUCGGCCCGUCUGAGCUAUGCGCUGCGGUUUCUUUUUCUCCAUGCGUAAGGCAAUCGCACACGCAAUUCGAUAUGCUCUACACACUUGCUCUGAUACAAAAUCAGUUUUUGCGCUGCUGUGACAUCAUGGUUGCACGCAGAAAGAGAUGAAGAAAAGAGAUGGAAAAAAUUAUGAUUUUGCUCCAAUUUCAAACAAUGCGGAAUCGAAACCACACGCAAUAGAAUGGGUGUAUAUUCGGCUCACUGUAUCAAAUGCUGAUUAGAGAGUGUACGUGUGUCAAUGCUUUGCACACUAACAAACUUACCUUUGUCGCACAUCGAACUUUAUCAUCACCAUCAACACCAGAGAUUGACAACGACAAUUCUAUCGAUGCGCAUUAUUUUCGUAUUAGAAAUUCACUACUCAAUACGUUUGCACGUGGCUACAUCCCGCACUGUUCUUUGUUUCAACAACGUGUUUUAGUUUCAUUUCAGUCCAAAUUCAAAUAGAUCAAUAUUGUCUUUUAGAUUUAUUGUCGUUUAGAUAUCGAAAAAAGAUAAACAUGUGUGAUAUCAGCUCUGUGUUGAAGAAAAUUCCAACGGUGGAUUCUUGCUGGUUGCUGGGUUUGAGAACGGGUGCACUGGCCAUCGGACUGAUGGAAAUCAUUUACUGUUGCACACAACUCAUCAUUUUAAGUAGCUCACCACUGGCCUUUUUAGUGCGAUUCCGGCCAUGGGUAACGGUUUCAAUUGUUGUUCUGUUCUUGUUGGCACACAUUGGGUUUGUUUUUGGAAUUUACCAGAAGAAGAGGGUGUACAUGUUACCCGCAUUGAUUUUGCCCACGUUGCAGCUUCUUUUCUUGAUCUUGUUGGUUUGUGCGUUGCCGAUCAUUGGAACGAUUGGCUUUAUUUCGGAUGCAAACAAGGAUGGAUUACAAUUUGCGGGACUGGCAUUCUUUGCAUGCAUUGCUUUGGCUAAAGAAACAGCAAUGGAAGUGUUUCUGUGGGUCGUAAAAUGUUCACUCUACAAAUCCAUGAAAGAUGAUGAGGUGAAGUCCAACACAUCAAUGCAUAGCAUUUUCCUUUGAUGAGCAACAGAUUGGUGCCAACAACAAUCGACCAACCACCGAUGUCGAUAGACUUAUAAGAUUGAAAUAGUGAUUACAAUCGCUCAAAAUAUGUUAUAGUAGCUAAGAAAAAUUUCAAUCGCCGAUUGAGAAACAAUCAUCGUUUUUUGUUUGAAAAUUACAAAUUGUGUUAAUAAAAAAGAGCGUUUUGCAGGGGAAAAUUGCAAAAAAUUCAUAGUUGAAGCAAUAUGGCAUAUCGUUUUCAUGAAGCAUUCAAGAAUGAAGAGUAGAGUCAUAUCAGGAAUCGAUGUUCCACACAGAAUUAUCCAAUGUAAAUAUAAUGUCUGGAUCUGAAUCCAAGUUUCUCUCAAUUGCUCGGGGUAUUGAUAUUCAAGUAGAUUUUCCACUCUUAUCUCGAAAACGGGCCGAACAUUUUCGAAGGUUUUAACAUGAAAAUCAAUCGAUUUAAUUAAAAUGCUGACAAUGCUUGCAAUUAGCAGUUUUUUAAAACAAAACCAAACAAAUAAUUACAUAAAACACAGUUCAUCUGUUUACUUCUUGUCUUCUCUUUCGAUAUUGCUUUUCUAUCGAUUUUAUCGUAAACAAUUCUUGAACGUAACUGCUCUUGCGUGAUUUACUUCAAAUAAAAUGGAAUCGACUUGUAUUUUUUUGAUUUCGCAAGUGUAUGACACUCGGUAUGAGUCAACUUGGUAUUUUGCUUGUCAUGCAUUUUAUGACUAUAAAAUCAGUUUGGACAAUGGAAAAAUCUCAUUGCAAUCUUGGACUCCAUCGUGAUCGUUUCAAAACAAGUUUUCGCGACGUUUUUCGGUUCAGUUUUUUUCUUCUCAAUUGCCAUUGUGUGAUUUGUGCCAGCUAAAUCAGAAUAAUCGAUUUUUCACAGUUCAAGAUACCAAAAAUGUUGAAAAUACCACGAGUUGAAUCUUUCUUAGGGUUUGAUUUGAAAAAAAGCAUAUUGACCAUCCAAUUUGCCAUCAUUCUUUCUACAUUCAUCGUUCAAAUCAAAUAUUGGACUUCGGAUUUAUUGUCCGUCAAAUCGUUGGCCAUACUUUUUGCUUUUGAUCUUUUGCCUGUGCUUGCACAUACCAGUUGUAUCUAUGGAAUUCACAAGAAUAAGCCGAAACUAAUGCUACCCGGACUUUUCCUUCUAUUUUUUUUCGUUUGGUUUUUCAUCAAUUGCAUACUCAUCUACCCGAUGGUUGUAGAAAAUUACAUAGCAACUCAUGAAGACCGAAAAGAAAUUGAAGCUCACCAAAAUAAAAUAUUUUUAAUUUGGAUCUUUUUUUUACCAAUCACGGUAGCUGACAUUUACUAUUUGAUAGCUCUUUAUUCGUUGUACAUGCUCAUGACGGAGGGUGGACUGGAUGUGGCUCAAGACAGAACAAAUGGAGCAUUUGCAGUCAAUAUGGGCGCACAAACAAAUGAUGUUUAACUAUAUCCAUGUAUCCAACUACAGUACUCCGUUAAGAUAAUAAUCCAUUUUCUAUCGUCGUUUUUACUCAACAUAUAAUAUUAGCUGAUAUUUCAAUCAAAACAGUGCAUUGAUUUCAAUUUUAAAUGGAAAAAAUGUUGUAAAAUCUAUUUAAGAACUAAUCAGUUUUUUUUAUUCAUGGUUUAAUUCAGCUUAGUGCCUUAGUUUAUCGUAAAUAUUUUUUAAAAAAAUCACUUUGAAUGCCAUCUAUUUGUUAUUUCACAUUAAUUUCAAAGUGAAAAUUUGUGUUUUGGGUACAAUAAAUAUACUAGAAUUUGGAAUAAAUAAAAGUCCUGGAUUCUAAAAAUCGGAUCUAUAGAUCCGAAUCGAAUAAUAUACAAAGAUUACAAUUUUUCCAUGCAUUUAUCAAAAACAUUCAUAAAAACUGUUCUGAAUUUGAAUCGUCAACAUAUUCCUUUUGUAUUCAAUUGUCUUAUUUCAAACAAUCAAUUAUUGAAAUAAAUCGCAUAAACUGAA